rnacentral:rRNA from 1 species
GAUGAACGCUGGCGGCGUGCCUAAUACAUGCAAGUCGAGCGAACGGACGAGAAGCUUGCUUCUCUGAUGUUAGCGGCGGACGGGUGAGUAACACGUGGAUAACCUACCUAUAAGACUGGGAUAACUUCGGGAAACCGGAGCUAAUACCGGAUGAUAUUUUGAACCGCAUGGUUCAAAAGUGAAAGACGGUCUUGCUGUCACUUAUAGAUGGAUCCGCGCUGCUUUAGCUAGUUGGUAAGGUAACGGCUUACCAAGGCAACGAUGCAUAGCCGACCUGAGAGGGUGGUCGCCCACCCUGGAACGUAGACACGGUCCAGACUCCUACGGGAGGCAGCAGUAGGGAAUCGUCCGCAAUGGGCGAAAGCCUGGCGGAGCAACGCCGCGUGAGUGAUGAAGGUCUUCGGAUCGUAAAACUCUGUUAUUAGGGAAGAACAUAUGUGUAAGUAACUGUGCACAUCUUGACGGUACCUAAUCAGAAAGCCACGGCUAACUACGUG